GCAGAGGAUGAGAUUCCUCUUUCCGCUUUGGGUGUUGCCAUGUGAGAAUGCGAUGUUUGGGACUGCCAUAACCAUGUCACCAUGACAGGAAGGCCAGAAGAAGGUGGAGGUGCUCCCUGACACCCUGCAUCGCUGACUGCCCAACUAACUCUGGGACUGCUCGCCUCUCUGCUGGGCUCCAGCCCAGGAUCCCACAUUCCACUUAGUGGUCCUGUCUCUUUGGUCUCCUUCAAUCUGUGACAGCUCCUGUCUUUACACGUCUUUCAUGACCUUGACACUUCAGGUGCCUUGCUCUCUCAGGACCUGCUGGCUGUGGAAGCUGACUCUCCCUCUCAGGAGUGCUUUCGUGCGAUCUAUGUUCCUACCCAUCGCUGCUGACUUCCUCUGACCUGAAUGAAUGCACUGCAUUCUGGAAGUUGCUUAUUAACCCCCAUUUAGAAUCAAAAGAGCAGCCUCCACCCCCAGCUUCCCUGUAAUGAAAGCUGUUCACCUCUCCACUGACCCGACUCUAUGGGAUGCGAUCUGAGAUGACCCCGUGCCAGCUCUUUUGUGUGUUUCUGGCUGCAGAGGAGCCAAGGAAACACUCAUGCAUUCUUUGCCCAGACAAAUUCGGGGCAGCAAGCUGAUUCAAGCCCAGCAGCGCCCUUCUUUCUCUCCAUCACCUAAGGAGCCAGCCAGCCUGUUCUUGCCUUCUGUGUGCUAGAUGAGAGCCAGACACAAGUCCCCUGGACAGCCUAGCAGCAGAGAAUACAUACGGGGCUCUCCGAGAGGAAGUACUGAAUCCCAUCUUGCUCAGUUCACAUGAGCCAGUAACACUUCCCCCCAAAUCUUGAAAAAUCUCCAUCAACUGCUCUCAAGACAUUACAUUACACGAGGAGUUGACAAUGUUCAGGAAUGAAUUCCUGGGUAUUUCCAUCGAAAAGGCUCUCUUGGCCUACCAUUCCACUUUGGAAGUUCAUAUCUCUUAAAUCUUAGUGCUUCAAAUGAAACUUAAUUGAACAUCUUCUUGCACCAAUCUUAAAUUCUUCCAAUUCAACCUAUGAGAUUAGUGUAACAUUGGUCUUAAAAUUAAAUUUAAAAGACUAGGAAGGAAAGUUUUAGGCCAAUUUUUUUCAUAACCAAAGUUGCAAAAACAAACUAUUAUCAACCAAAUCCAGGAGAAUAUGAAAAAGAUCAUCAAUCAUACUAAAUUGGGUUUAUCCCAGGAAUGAAAAAAUGGUUUAACAUUAUACAGGCCAUUAAUGUAAUUCCUUACAUUAACAGAUUAGAGAAGGCAGACCAUUUGGCUAUCUCAAUAGAUGCAGAAAAAGCAUUUGAGAAAAGCAAACUCAUUUGUGACAGAAACUCUGAAAAUAAAAAUUAGGAAUGUAACUUCUUUAACAGGAUAAAAGUCCAAAACAAAAGCUUAUGACAGACACUAAUAUUAUUAAUGGUAAAGCUUACAAGUAUUCCCUUUAAAAUCAGGAACAAGUUGAAGAUGCCCAAUAUCAUCAUUCUAUUCAACAUUAUUCUCAUUAGUAAAAUUUUAAAAGAUCCUAUAUAAUAAAAGGGUAAUAUGCAAAUUGACCCUAACAGCAGAAUGACUGGGAAUGACUGGUCACCAUGACACACACUGACCACCAG